CUCCUACCUUUAAUAAGAGCUUGAGUAGUUAUGUCUGGUUGUGUUGAGUGGUGUGUUUGGUAUCCUUGGGACAGGUUCAAGUUGCUAGAGUUGUUGAACCUAGUUUCUGUCCCAUGAUACUUAAAUUGUGUGUGUUGCUCUGUUUCUUAAAUUAUUUCUAGGAGUUGUCUAGCAUGGUAUUGUCUAGUUCCUGUCCUAGAUUAAUUGUUUCUGUUUGUAUUGUGCUAGGCGAUUUGUUUAGCUACUGUCAUUGUCUUGUUGCAUUGAUAAAGGUCUAGGAGAGUCUCCUGAUCUUGUAUUGCAUUAUAUAUAUUGUUCAAGAUGAUUAGAUGAGUUGUUUAGUCUCUGUUUAUUGUCUUUAAAAUUCAUAAAAAGAGCCUAAUUGCCUUGUUAUUGAUGAGUUAUCAUACCUGAGCAGUUAGUACUGUUAGUAUGCAUGGAGUUGAACUGAAUGAGUUGUUUAGAUUCUGUUCAUUGUAUAUUUCUUUUUUUUUUCUCUUAAAACAUUGGGAUCAGACUUGGUGAAUUAUCAAUGGCUGAUCCUAGUGUGUGUGGUCUGAUUCUUGCUGGAGUUUGAGUGAUGUUUCAGGUACACAAGAGGUGAUCUCUGUCCAUCAUCAAACUAAGACAAAGAAGAAGGCAUUGCCCACGUUUUUCAGAGCCUCCCAAGAUGGAUAUUCCUGAACCGUGGAGAUUGCCCAGUCCCAAAUCCUAUCUAUGUGUCUGCCCAUUUCUACCCUGAAGAUAGAAAGGAUGUUGGAGAAUUGGAGAAACUGCUCAGAAGUGACUUACCUGAUGCCAAGAGGAUGUACAGGAGGUGCACUCAAGAGAAAAGGCCAUCACUAAGCCAAGAGUGGCCGGUGGUCAGAGGCAUGGAUCAAGGUGUUUAGUCCUGACCAUGUAAAGAUACCUUGUGAGUGGAAUCAGUUGGCUUAAGCGCAGGCGUAGGAGCUGUUGUGCUCCUGGUUCAAGAGACUCACAAGGAAGGCCAUCACCUAAGUCAUGAGGAGACUGGUGGUCCAAAGACAUUGGAGCUGAAGGCAAAUGGUGAUCCAGUUGGCUUAAGCGCAGAUGUUGGUAUUGUUGUGCUCCUGGAAGAUGGUAAACUGGUUGGCUUAAGCGCAGAUGUUGGUAUUGUUGUGCUCCCAGUUCAAAACUCGUUGAAGCUCACGUUCAAGCUUGUCACUAUACUCAGUCAAGCUUGAGGAGGGGAAUAUCAGUGAGCUACCAAAAGAUCCAUGAAGCUUACUGUAUCCAGUGUCCCAUUUCCUCAUAGAAGACCAGCAAGAGGUUGGCGAAUUAAAAGAGGACUUAAGUGAUCAAACUGAAGAAGCUGUCACUCCUCACUGUUCUUACCAGCCAGAUGCAAGGAUUAUUCAAUCAGGGACAUUCUUGGCUAAGCAAUCACAUGAUGGUGGCAAAUUAUGGAGUUGCAAAGUCCCCCUACAUGUUGAAACUUCAAGAGAACAAUGCAAAGGCUGGUUGAGAGAAGGAAUGGCGUGGAGGAUUCAAGUGCUUAGUAAUCCUCACCAACAUUCAACAAACUGAUGCAAGGGAAGUACCUAAAACCAUUAUUAUUCUUAUGUGUGAAUAGGUUUGCCCCUUGAGAAUUGAUACAUGCAUUUUUUGGAUGAUUGAAUCAGGUACCUAUUGAGCUCAUGAACAAAGAAAAGCUUUGUCUCAACUCCUAAAUGGAGGCAAGAAGCCAGAAGAAAGGGGGAGACAAGCUCAGGUCAUAAGAAGAAGCUCAAAGGUGAUUUGACGGUGAAGCAACUGGCGCCAAUCCAAGUCGUUCAUUGCCUCACCUCUGAUCAAAAGUGGAGUUUGCAAGUGGUGGAUUCACUCUUGCAUUACUCAGUACCAACCGGAUCAAAGAAGCUCAUUCCAAGUGUGUGAUUGAGCUUCCAUAAUCCGGACUGUGUCUUACCAAGUGGGGAUUCAAUUGGAGUCCACUCCUGACCAUUCUUAUAAAAGGGAAGCACCUUAAACUCAUCUCAAUACAUUCAUGAUUGUCCUUAUACUUAAACUAUUAUUGAGUUUGAUGUGAUGAGUGCAUUUCCUUAAGAACUGAUGCACUUUUGAAAUGAUGUAUCAGGUACCAAAAUAAGCUUGAGCCUCACUGAAGAUGAUGAUGAUGAUCCGGUCAUGUCCUAGCCUUUCUAAGAUGGCCAAAGAAGUCAGUUGAGAGGGGGAGACCCUAACCGAGUCUAUGGUUCCAUGAAGAGGUCAAGCCAAGUUCUAAAGAACAAGUAACUUUGCUGGGGGUUCAGAGAAGAUGGUCUGGUCGUUUCCUUGCCUUCCUAAGGUGGCUUGAAGCCAGUUGAGAGGGGGAGACCCUAAACCGGCCACAAAAUGAUCCAGCCGGCUACUUGUGCUCAAGGAUAGCAAGUUAUGGUGAUUCAUACUUGCUAUACCUAUUAGGCCACGAUCCAGAGCCUAAGGACUCCACCAUGAUGAAUCUGAAGUUCCUUAGGCUCACUGGCCAAUCCCUAAGCUUUGUGGAAACUCCACUCUUUUUCCCUUAGCAAGUUUUGUCCCAAUGGGUUUUCUUGCUAAGGUUUUUAAUGAGGGAGCUUCUUCAAGGUUCCAAGCUUGUCCAAGGAUCUCCUAUGGUCAAGCUUGAGGGGGAGUGUUGGAAUGAAGAAGUAAGAAGCUGGAGUUGAUGAAGAGACCAAGCUUCAAGAGCAAGCAAAUCCGGAACAAGCAGAUUUGAAUCUGUCCGUACAGUUUUGGCUUGCAAGUAACCAAACCUAACCUAGAGUGUCUUGGAAGUCAAGGCAAGUGGGGAACUCGUCCAGCUGAGCUUUCUGAAGCAUAUUUGAAGUUUAAACUAAGUAUGAGACCGUUGGAGAGAGAUCUGGCAAGUUGGAGAAUUAAUUAAGAUAAAAGUCACAUGUGCAUAAGGAGAUGAACCUGCUGUCACUUUCACCCAACCAGACUGUGCCCAUCUCUCUCUCCUGUCACUCUCUACUCCCUCUGGUCGAGAUUCUCCUUAGCUGCAUCCUCCUGGCUCCAUCAGAAACCCUACAAUAAUAUUAGUUUAGUAAAUCUGUACUUUAACAAUUGUUUAAUCACUUGCAACUUGUAAUUUGGCUAUAAAGUCACCCCAUUGUAACCAUUACGAAAUUAAGCUGAAUGGGG
rnacentral:lncRNA from 1 species